GAGGUGAGCAGUUCAGAGUUUUGAAUUCACAGUUCAGGCUCUGUGAAUUUAUAUGAACCUGAGUAAAUUAGCCUUUCUAAGCUACAAAAUAGGAUAUUAUUCCUAUAGGAAUCCUAUAGGAAUCUCCUAUUUUGUAGGUUAUCUCUCACUAUAAAAUAGGGAUAACAUCUUUACAGAGGGUUCUUGUGAAGAUUAAGGGAGAUAAUUUGUGUCAAAAACAGUGUUUAGCACGUAGUAAGCACUCACUGAAUGACAGCAAUUAUUAACGGGUUAUGGCUUUGUGCAGAGGGAGAAUAUAACCAAGAUCACUGUUAAUCAAGGUCAGAUUAUGGGGACAAUUCUUCCCUUUAGACUUAAGGAUGGUGCCUCCUUGGUUGAAUCAUUUGCUAUGUUGAUGUCUCACACCCUCUUUAUUGACUUGGCUUUCAGCUCACAGAGAAGAUGAAGCCCAAAUAUGAUAGACACCACCCCUGCUCUCAGGCAAGCUUGCUAAAGAGCAGCUCAACCCAUGUUGGUACUCUGCAUCAUUCUAAAGAUAAAACCAUGUCCCCAAGGAAGGAUAUUGUGCACAGAUGAUAAUAGUAACAACACUAGGGGCGCCUGGGUGGCUCAGUUGGUAAGGUUCCAAUCUAGGCUCAGGUCAUGAUCCCGUCAUGUGCUGACAGCUCAGAGCCUAGAGCCUGCUUCAGAUUCUGUGUCUUCUUCUUUCUCUGCCCCUCCCCCAUUUGUGCUCGUGUGUGUGUGUGUGUGUGUGUGUGUGUGCGCGCGCGCGCGCGCGCGCGCGCUCUCUCUCUGUCACUCAAAAGCAAAUAAAUAAACAUUAAAAAGAAUAAAAUAGCUAAAAAAAAUAGUAACAGCACUAUACAUUUAUUCAAUCUUUUACUAUUUACAAAACACUGUUACUUAUAAAAGGUUACUAUUUUUACUUCAUAGAUGAGGAAACAGAGGCUUAGAGAGGUGAAGCAACUUGAUUCAAGUGACAUAGAUAAUUGGUGGGUGGAGCAGGGAUCCACACCCAGCUCCUCUGACUUCAAGUCUGGGGUUUUUCUAUAUCACAAGAUGAUGUAAAGGAUGGGAGCAGGUAGCAAAUUAGAAAGCCAUUUGCUUCCAAUCAUAAAAACAUUGAAUUUUAUUUACUUUUUAAACUUUUUUAAUGUUUAUUUAUUUUUGAGGUGAGGGGACAGGCAGAGAGAAAGGGAGACAUAGAAUCCAAAGCAGGCUCCAGGCUCAGAGCUGUCAACCAGAGCCAGACGUGGGUCUCAAACCCACGAAUGCGAGAUCAUGACCUGAGUUGAAGUCAGACACUUAACUGACUGAGCCACCCAGGCGCCCCACAUUGAAUUUUAGAACAGAAAGUAGAUUUCAGAUUGCCUAAUACUGUGGUUUUUAGACUGUAUCCAAGGAAUCCUGUAGGAAGUGGGAAAAACCAAGCAGGAAGUAGGAUUGUAUGCACCUCAGUUUUUAUCAGUUAAUUUUAUAACAUUACAAUGUACUUUGAAUGAAUGUUUAAAUCAUUAAGACUUUCCUUUAAGAAGAAUGAAGUUGAAAACUCCUAAUCUAGUGCAACUGUUUUCCUUUCUCUAGUAUGAUACUGAGGCCUGGUCUGGUUAAGUAACUUGUCCAAAUUUCAUAACUAGUUAGAAGCAGAGUGAGGAAUAACACUGAGUCCUUGUCACCUGCAUAUUUGAUAAGCAUGUUGUAAAUGUCCUCAUUCUCCAAAUAUUUCCCUUUGAUUAUCUCAAGCAGUCAUUUAAAUCAUCAAGAAAUAAGCCCUGGGGUUAUUCUCUCCUGAUGAUUCACUAUGUGACCUAAUCAGUCCACUGAUCUCUGUACCCUUGGCUUUUCCAUAGGUAAUAGGGAAUGAUAAUUCCUGUCUAGGCAGCUCUCAGUGGGGGUGUUGUAAUGAUUGUAAAAAAGAACAUGUGGAGGUUCACAGGUUUCUUCCAGGGAAGGAGACUCAGAAAGUUCAAGAUCUUAAUUAUUUACAAAUGCCUACCAAGUAUGUCAUUGCUUCUAAGGUGACCUUUGCAAUUUACCAUCCCUGUGUAUUUAUUGUUCCUCAUUUGAGAAGUCAAUGUAGUUUAUUUUUGUAACCAUGUUAAGAUUUAUGAAAUAGCCUCAAAACUUAUCACAUUGGCUUUCUGAUAAGACUGUGAUUUCUUACUACUUGCAGGUGGUAAGUAAAUCUUUUAAGGUUAAACACCUUUCAUUAUACACAUGUUAUAAAGGAAGUGAUCACUACUGGGUUCUAGCAAUCAUGGGGAACCUAGAACCAGAUGAAACCAAAGGACUUGCAUGCAGGUUACAGAGUUUGUAAUUUGUAACCCUUCCACCUAACUGGCAGUUUUUCCUUCUUCAACAAGGAAUACUAGGAAAAUGCUAUCACAGACCUUCAGGCUAACCUUGAAAGCAGCCUGAGGACUGUGUGUCAUCUUGGCUGAGUUCUUUAUUUCUCUGAGCUUGUUUUCUCACUUGUACAAGGCAGACAUUGCAUUCCCUUUCCACCUCACAGGGUCACCAAGGAUCAAAAGAGAGAACAUAGGGUGACAUGUUUUUAAAACCAUGAUGUGUAUGCUAACUGAAAGGAUGGUCAUUUUUAAGAAUGUGUUAGGGGCACCUGGGUGGCUCAGUUGGUUGAGUGUCCAACUUUGCUCAGGUCAUGAUCUCGUGGUUCAUGAGUUCAAGCCCCACAUCAGGCUUGCUGCUGUCAGUGCAGAACCUGCUUCAGAUCCUCUGUCUCCCUCUCUCUGCCCCUCCCCCACUUGCAUUCUCUCAAAAAAAAAAAAACUUUAAAAAAUUUCUGUAAAGAAUGUGUUAAAUACUAUAUUUAUAAUGUACGUUUCAACUAAGUCUUCUAAAUUUGUUAGGAAUACCUACUUUGGAAUGAUCAACUACUUAGGAUGAAGAAAGGUAUUUCAAAUUAUGCUGAUCUCUAUAAAGAGAGUAAAGUGCCAAUAUCGAGCAAGACGAAGUUAGAGCUAAGGAAUUCCCUCCUUAACUGGCAUUAUCACAAAACAAGAAAUAAUUUUCUAUUUUCAAUUAAGAAUAUUUUAAAUAUAGGGGCACCAGGGUGGCUCAGUCAGUUAAGCAUCCGACUUCGACUCAGGUCAUGAUGUCGUGGUUCAUGGGUUCAAGCCCCAUGCCGGUCUCGGUGCUGACAGCUCAGAGCCUGGAGCCUGCUUUGGAUUCUGUGUUCUCCCUCUUUCUGCCCCUCCCCUGUCUCUCUCCCUCUCAAAAAUAAAUAAACAUUAAAACAUUUUAUAAAAAAAGAAAAUAUUUUAAAUUAAAAAAUAAGAAAUUAAACAGGUCUUUACCAAAAUUCUACUCUGGAUGCCUCAGAUUUCUAACUACAACUCUUGGAGAGUAGCAUUUCUAUGCUUAUUCAUGUUGAUACUUUCAAAAAUCUGGACCUAGUUUCCAUUAUGCAGACAAGCCACAGAAGUGGACCAAUAUUUUAAGACUACAAUGUUUACUAAUGGAUGUCUGGCUAGAAACAGUGUUGGCAGAAUUUUGGCGGAGGCAUUUACUCUCACUAAUGAUGUGGAACAGGGCUGCGUAAUCAUGUCCACUUGUAUAAAGUCUACCCAAUACUUCAUAUUUUGAAAUAGAACCAGAAACAAGCACCUCCAAAAGUCCUGGGAUUUUCCUGGAAGAAACAUUAUAUCAGAACUGGUUUAGACCUUCUGCCCCAUGACUUCACAGGUAAAGUGGAUAUCGGAUGCUUUUGCAGAAUAUUUAGAGACAAAAAGACAGUAUGUCCUAUGUAUGGGCCAUCCGAGGCCAGGAAAAAUCUUUCAAACAUUUCCUUAAGAAAAUAUAUCAACUGUUUUUCCUGCACAUAUAUUAACAAAUCUUUAAAGUAAAAGGACACUCAAUCCACACCACUGCCCCUUCCUUCCAUGCCCCAGGAAAGCUAUACUCAGUUAUGCAUUAUCAAUUUCUUUCUUAGCUAUACUUGGGACUAAAAGCAUUAGCAGUUAUUCAUCAAUAAGGAAGAAGGACAAUGACAUUCAUUUAGACUGCUUGGACAUUGUUACUGUAUCACUCUUCUGGGAGAAGGUAAUUUCUGUCUAUUAAAAGAGACAGAUUCCAAACUAAGAUAUGUGGGAAAUCAUAAGGUAUUUAAUAGAAUUCAAGUAAUGCAUGUGGUCCUAAAAAAUUGUAAUUAAUAAGGAUCUAGCCAAGGAAAAUUAAUAACAGCAAACCUUUAAAAUGGAAAUCCUUAGAAUAAAGGAAUAGCUGUUAGAAUAUUAGUAUUACUCUGUAUUAAAAAUGUCAAGAUACUGUCAUUGGAUUUCUUUCCCUUCUACCUAGUUCUAGAUCAACAAAGAAUCUUCAUUAUUUUCUGAAAUUAGAUGCUGCUUCAAAGAUUUUAGAAGUAAACCAUGAAAUGAGUACACUGAAGAAGCAUUAUUAGCUUUUGCAGAUUACUAUUAAAUUACAUUUUUUAUCCCACAUUAAAACUUAAUCACAACGUUUGUCAAAUAUCUCAAAGAUAUGCUUUAGACAAAUACCUAGCAUUAUCUGAAACCAAAUCUGAUUGUUUCAAAUGGGUAGGAACUAGGCUGUGGGGUAGGAAAAAGUCCUAUAUUUCUCACCUCCUCUCUUCCUUCCUCCCUUCCUCCCUUCCUGCCUUCCUGCCUUCCCUAACUUCCUUCAUUCAUCCUUCCUUUUUCCACUAAUUUGACUUAUGGUGCUCCUGAUCUAUAUCAAGGCAACAUUUCAGUGGAAGGUAUACUGCAGGAAACAAUGUGCCGAAUGGUUGUCUGGUAGUUCAGACAAGGAGACACAUUUGCAGUGCAUGAUGCUGUCGUCACUGCAGCUUCCAUAUGUCCUCUCUCAAGAUGUCUGUGCCUCAGUCGUUGCAGAUGUCAUCAAAGAUUAUCCCUUUAAUUUUUAACGUUGUCACAGUUAAUAUAUACCCUUUACUUUUCAACACUGUCAAUGCUAAUUCAAACCUUUUAACUUUUAACAUUUUAAAGUUAAUAUAAACUCCAUUAAAGCUUCUCAGCUGAUCAAACACAGGAAUGAUCAGUAUGAACUAGUCAUAUUAGUAGUUUUUCCGGUAGAUAGUCAGUAGAUUUUUUUGGUGAUGCUAUUGUGAACAGUUAUAACGAUAGCUACCCUUACUUACCAUAUUAUUUCAUAUGCAAAGUAUAUCAUCCUAAACACCUCAUUUGAGACUCUGCUCACUGCUCAUCACUCCAGGCUUCUUCCCUAAUUGCCUGUGCCAUCUCAUAACUUCUCCAUGCUGCUGCCCCAUCCCUGGAGCUUUAUUCUUUACAUGUACAUCAACUCCUGUCUCCAUUCUUCCAAGUAUUGUUAACACAAGAUAUUAUCUGCAGUAGACUUUUUUAAGUGUGUUGGUUUCCUAGGGCUGGCAUAACAAAGGACCACAACCUGAGUGGCUUAACCACCAAGAGUUUAUUGUCUCAAAGUUCUGGAAACUAAAAAUCUGAAAUCAAGGUGUUGACAGCGUUAUUCCUUCUGAGAGCAGUGAGAGGAGGAUCUGUUGCAGAUCCUUGACUUCUAGAUGGCUGUGUUCUUCCUGUGUCUCUUAGCAUUGUCUUCUUUUUAUGCAUGUCUCUGUGUCCAAAUUGCCCCUCUUAUAAGGACACCAAUCAUGUUGGAUUUGGGCUCACCCUAACGAUGUAACGAUGUUACCAUUGUAACUUGGUUGCCUCUAUAAAGAUCCUAUCUCCAAAUAAGGUGACACACUGAGGUACUAGACGUUAGGACUCCUACAUAUCUGUUUUAGGACACAAUUCAUCCCAUAACACUAAGGUUUAAAGAUAACACAUGGGAAAUACAGCGUAGAAAAUAAAAACUUAAGCUACAUCUUAAGUGUCAUUGUCAUAGAAGCUAUUGACUAUGCCUGGUACAGAGUCUGAUUCUCUCUAUCCUUCUGUCCAAACUGCUACCAUAUUUCUGUGGCCAGUUCACCAUACUGGAUGGAAAUCUGAUUGUGCACUCUUACUCCCUGUGAUGGUUAAUUUUAUGUGUCAACUUGACUGGGCCGCAGGGUACUCAUAUAUUUGAUUAAACAUUCUGAGUGUUUCUGUGGGGGUAUUUUUGGAUGAUAUAAACAUUUAAAUCAGUAGAUAAAGCGUAUUGCUCCCCAUAAUGUGAGUGGGCCUCACCCAAUCAUUGAGAGUCUGACUAGAACCCAAGGCUAACCCUUCCCUAAAUAAGAAAGAAUUCUCCUACCUGACAACCUGCAAACUGGGACAUCAGCUCUUCCUAGUUCUACAGCAGCUUCCAGUGUGAGACUCAAACUGGGACACUGGCUCUACAGAAUGUACAUCCCUCCUCUCCCUACCCCCCCCCCAACAUGAACAUUAUUUGUUCUGUUUCUCUGGAGAACCCUAACUAAUACAGUCCCUAAGACCAGGUCCUACCUAAUAAAGAACAACCACAAAUACUGUAAGUAUCCCUUCAGGAUUGCAAUCUCUCUGCUAUAGAGCCAGCCAUUUAUCUUACUCAGCACAGUACCCAACUCCUCCAAUCUUAAGCCUUUAUAUAUAGGUUAUUCCCCUGGGUUUCAUUCAUCUUUAUGACUAAAAAAUGUUCCCCCAUUGAACUCUCCAAGAGCCUGCCCCAAAGACAAAAUCCAGCUCUCAAUCUUAGUGAGACUGAGAAAUACUGAAGUCCAAACUCAGAGCACUCUGCUAUAUGCACAGAACUUCUCAUAUAUUCUUUGCAUACAUCUCAAAUCACUGAGGACUUCUCAAGUUCUCCUCAUCUAAUUCCAUCUAAGGCUUUUUAUGCAACUAUACAAUUUCUUCUAUAGCUUAAUAUUGCAUGUGUGUGGCUUGGUAAAAAAAAUUAGCCUUGUUUAAUUAAGACUCAGCACAUAUCCUCCAAAGUUUAAACAAAUGAGAGCUGAACCAAAUCAGACUCUUCAAAGAGUGUUUCUAGGUUAGAAAGGGCCACACUACUUCCCCUGACUCUGUGCUUGACUUUCAUCUUUACUUUGGGUUUCUGUUUUCCAGAUUCUCUAUGUCACCACAUCACCUGGUCAUGCCUCACCCAAAGCUGUGUGGUUCCCCUUUAAAAUUUUCAAUGUGGACAAAAAUGUUUUCCCUUGGCAUAACUAAGACAGGCUGGUAUUUUCAAGAACAGCUUUACUAAACAUGAGGGAAGCAGAAAACAAAUAAUUACAUAAAACAUACACCAUAUAAAAAUAGCCAAGUUUCCAACUGCAGGUUUCUGUUUCUAAAAAUUCUAUUAGAAGUAGGAAAGUUUUACUGGGCCUCAAUCUCAUUUACCCCUUAGUCAACCACAUCCCUUAUUUUGCUGUAUCCUGUCUGGACUCCUUCUCUCCUACCUUCAACACUUCAUCUAUCCCUGAACCCUAUAAUCUUGAGCUGCUUGCUUGGUUUUCUUAACCCGUAUCUCAAAGAAAAAAAUACCCAGUAACUUACUUUUAAAACUAUCAUUCUCCUGGGGCGCCUGGGUGGCUCAGUCGGUUGAGCGUCCGACUUCAGCUCAGGUCAUGAUCUCGCAGUUUGUGGGUUCGAGCCCUGCAUCGGGCUCAGUGCUGACAGCUCAGAGCCUGGAGCCUGCUUCGGAUUCUGUGUCUCCUUCUCUCUCUGCCCCUCCCCCACUUGUGCUCUAUCUCUCUCUGUCUCUCAAAAAUAAAUAAAUGUAUAAAAAAAAUUUUAAACUAUCAUUCUCCUAAUGAAAUAUCCUGGACUCCCAAAGACCUGCCAAAAUGCCUGCUUACAAGAGAUUUUCAAGUUUUAAUGUUGAAGAUUCACAGGGUCUCAAACAUUAACUCUUCUCAAUAUUGAUAUUAAAUCAGCAUUUUAAAAAAAGUACAUUCUAGGAAAUAGUUCCUGGGAUAAUGAAUAUUCUUGACAAUAGCAGAUAGCAUUCUGAGCUCAAAUAAAUUUGAAGAAUGUUGGGUUAAACUAAGUUUCAGUUUUCUCCAAUACAUAAUUUCUCAAAUCAUUUCAUGCAGUCAGCCAAUUCUUUUUGUGUGUGUGUGUGUCUUUUUUUAUUUUUUAAAUUUACAUUCAAGUUAGUUAGCAUAUAGUGCAACAAUGAUUUCAGGAGUAGAUUCCUUAAUGCCCCUUACCCAUUUAGCCCACCCUGCCUCCCACAAUUCCUCUAGUAUCCUCUGUUUGUUCUCCAUAUUUAAGUCUUUUAUGUUUUUGCCCCCCUCCCUGUUUUUAUAUUUUUUUUGCUUCCCUUCCCUUAUGUUCAUCUGUUUUAUAUCUUAAAGUCCUCAUAUAAGUGAAGUCACAUGAUAUUUGUCUUUCUCUGACUGACUAAUUUCACUUAGCAUAAUACCCUCUAGUUCCAUCCACGUAGUUGCAAAUGGCAAGAUUUCAUUCUUUUUGAUUGCUGAGUAAUACUCCAUUGUAUAGAUAUACCACAUCUUUUUUAUCCAUUCAUCCAUCAAUGGACAUUUGGGCUCUUUCCAUACUUUGGUUAUUGUUGAUAGUGCUGCUAUGAACAUGAGGGUGCAUGUGCCCCUUCGAAAUAGAAUACCUGUAUCCGUUGGAUAAAUACCUAGUAGUGCAAUUGCUAGGUCAUAGGGUAGUUCUAUUUUUAAUUUUUUGAGGAACCUCCAUACUGUUUUCCAGAGUGGCUGGAUAUCCAGAUAUCCAGAGUGGAUAUCUUCUUUGGAGAAGUGUCUAUUCAUGUCUUGUGCCCAUUUCUUCACUAGUUUAUUUGUUUUUUGGGUGUUGAGUUUGAUAAUUUCUUUAUAGAUUUUGGAUACUAACCCUUUAUCUGAUAUGUCGUUUGCAAAUAUCUUCUCCCAUUCUGUCGGUUGCCUUUUAGUUUUGUGGAUUGUUUUUUGUUUUCGUUUUUGUUUUUGUUUUUUGGGUUUUUUUUUUUUUUCUGUGCAGAAGCUUUUUAUUUUGAUGAGGUCCCAGUAUUCAUUUUUGUUUUUGUUUCUCUUGCCUCUGGAGACAUGUUGAGUAAGAAGUUGCUGCGGCCAAGGUCAGAGAGGUUUUUGCCUGCUUUCUCCUCAAGGAUUUUGAUGGCUUCCUGUCUUACAUUGAGGUCUUUCAUCCAUUUUGAGGUUAUUUUUGUGUUUGGUGUAAGAAAGUGGUCCAGGUUCAUUUUUCUACAUGUCACAGUCAGCCAAUUCUUCAUGAGCACCUAUUAUGUGCCAGGCACUGAUCCAGGCACUGAGAAAAUACUAAUGAAGAAUGAGCAGAACGUAUAAAAUCCUGGCCCUGCCUUCAUAGAAUUUACCUUCUAGGUAGGGUUCACCAAGAAAAGUGAAUGAACAGGCAAGCAAAUAAGAUUUUCAAAUAAUGGUAAGGACUCUGAAGACAUUAGGGGGUGAUAUUAUAGGGAAGAGCUGGAAGUGGGGAAACCCAGCAGGCAGAGGGAACAAUGAGUCCACAAGACUCAAGGCAAGAGAAAGUUCGGCAUAUUGGAGGAAGAAAAAGAGCCUCUGUGGCUGGAACUGAGAAACUGUAUGGGAAACUGUAUGCAUGUGAGAAGGUAUGAUCUUACAGGCCAUGGUAAGAAGGAAGAUUUGAUCAUUGGUGCUAUGGAAAGCAAGAUGAAGGGUCUUAAGCCUUAGCACACUGUCAUAAUACAAUUUGAAAAAGAAAUCUCCUUGGCUGUUGCAUAGCGAAUGGAAUUUAAAGGCCAAGAUUACAAGUGGAGACCAAUUAGGAGCCUCUCACAGUAGUUCACCUGGGAGACGAUGAUGGGGUUGGCAGAGCAGAUAGAUGUGGAUGGCUUCAGCAUGUUUUUCAGGAGUGGAGACAACAGCACUUCCUGAUGGGUUAAUGUGGGAAAUUGGAGACCAGAGAGAAGACAGUGAUAACUUCUAGUUUUGGGGCUUGGGCAGUUAACUACAUGGUGGUAUUAUUGACAGAGCAGGGAGAGACUAGGGAAGCAAAGGCUUACAGGGGUGAAGGAAAUCAAGAGAUUGUUUUAUCCACAUUAAGUUCAAGAUACCAAUUACACAUAUAAGAAGCGCUAUCAAGUAGACAUAUCUUACAUAUCUAUGAGUCUGGAGCUUAGGAGAAACGUUUGUGAUAUAAAUUGGGAAAUCACUGGCAUAGAGAUGGUAUUUAAAGUCAUGGAACUGGAGAGAUCACCUAGGGAGAAUGUAGGGAUUCUAAGGCCCAAAGCCAAGCCCUGAGGCACUUUGAAUUGAGAAAUCUGGUGUAGAGGAAGAGCUGCAAAGAAGACUUUUAACACAUUCAUGUACAUUAAUGACUCUUUAAGAAGUGAUAACAGAAGUCAGCAUUUCUCAAACUUACUUGAUCUUGGAAACUUUUGUCACAUGGCAUCUCACAGGGAUAGGGUCCCAAGGAAAAUAUUUUGGGAAACAUUGUUCAUACCCUUCUAGCUGCUAAUAUAUUAACUUCUAAGGUGACAUAGGCAAGUCUUUUCCCUCUAAGUGGAGAGGUAUUUCAAUGAAAGCCUAUCAGUUGCUAAGCAAAACACUCCCCUGAUGAUCUAGGCCAAAAAAUGUACCUGCGGGAAACACACAUGAGCCAAAUGCAGUAAAGAAGAAGGAAGGCUGUUGCAUCAUUGCUUUACUGAGCCAAACCUCACAUGCUGGCCAUUUUUGCCUUGUUACAUUAAUAAUAGUUAUUUUGGUGGAAGAGUGAGAUUGAAGGUCUGAGGAGAGGCCCAGGAUUAAAUGCUCUUUUUUUUGGUGAAUUAUGUAACUUUUUUCAGAAGGCUAGCAUUUGGGUGUUUCUACCUGUAUACACUAUACCAGAGUAUCUUUUGAUGCUCUGGAAAGAGUUAAUUUAGAUAAAGAUUUUUCUCUAUUUUCUAGAAAGUUAGUUGUUGUUUUUUUUGUUUUUUUUUUUGUUUUUGUUUUUUUGUUAUAAACAACAGAAACUCACUCAUGCAUAUUAUUGGGAUCUAAGGCAGCCCUAAGGACAGGUUUCUCUCUAGGACCCCUUUUUCCCUCCUCUUCUCUCUCUUCUUUCUCUGCCCCACCCACCCAUAGGCCAGAGGCUGUCUGGUCUUUCACAGUACCUUUGAGACUUCUUGCUUUAUAGGUAUGCACUAUGAAAUCAUAAUAAAAUCCUCUACAUGUGUAUAGCACAGUCUAAGUAGACCCACAUGUUAUGGACUGAAUGUUUGUGUCCCUGUAAAAUUCAUAUGUGAAAUCCUUGAUCUUUGUGAGGUGGGGCAGUAACUGGGAGUCAAUUAAGUCUUAAGCAUGGAGCCCUUGUGAAUGAGAUUAGUACCCUUACAAGAAGAAACACAAGAACAAACUGAUGGUCAUCAGAGGGGAGCAGGGUGGGGGAAUGAACAAAAUGGAUGAAAAGGAGUGGGAGAUACAGGCUUCCAGUUAUGGAAUGAGCAACUCAUGGCAAUAAAAGGUACAGCAUAGGGAAUGUAGUCAAUGGUAUUAUAAUUCCUUUGUAUGGUGACAGAUGGUAGCUACACUUGCAGUGAGCAUAGCAUAAUGUAUAAACUUGUUAAAUCACUAUGUUGUAUACCUGAAACUAAUGUAACAUUAUGUGUCAACUAUAUUCAAAUUAAAAAAAGAAAAAAAAAACCAAGAAGCAAAGUAAAAAGAGAGAUGAUCUCUCUCUCUCUCUUUCAGCUGUGUGAGGAUACAAGAAGAAAACAGUCAUUUGCAAACAGGAAGAGUUCCCUCACCGGACACUAGAUCGGGCCUUGAUCUUGGACUUCUAGUCUCCAGGACAGUGAGAAAUAAAUGUUUGUUGUUUAAGCCACCCAGUCAGUGAUAACACCCUAAACUAAGAGAACACAGUCUUGAAGGUUUGCUUUUAAAAUGAGGAAACCAAGGCCUAGGGAGGAGAGACAAAACACAGUGUGGAAGGACUCCUAGAUGGCUUUGAUAAACCUAAAUUGUACUCUUGUGUGACUGUAGGCAAGUUUGUGACUAGGCCUCAAAUUCCUCUUCUGCAAAGGGAGAAGACUGAGAAGCGGUAAGUGAUUUUCAAGAUGCGUUUUGAGGCAUUUACAGUCUGCUUUUAUGAUUUUGAGAUGGAGUGUCUUGGCUGAAGUCAUACAGUGUUCUAUCACCUGGCCCAAUGUUUUGUUUUAUGACACCACACUGAGUUUCCAUUAAAAAAUUUUUUUAUGUGAACUAAUUUUUCUUAUGUAUUUGUAUUGCUAUGAAAAUACUACCA
rnacentral:lncRNA from 1 species